rnacentral:other from 1 species
AAAACCCUGCUGUGUUCGAAAAAACUCCUAGUUUUGAGCCAACACCAUUUAAAUGGGACUGAUGCUCCUUUUAUGGCAUAUAAGCCCCCACCGAGGGGACAUAUAAAGUAAAAGGGCGAAGACCCACCUGCUGGAGAGCAGGUUCAAAACAGGGGUUGAAACGGCACGGCGGGGAAAAA